rnacentral:ncRNA from 1 species
UAAAAGUUUUAUUCUUGCUAAAGAAAUUUAUUUGUUUCUUUAAUUUAUAUGCAAAUUUUUGUUUUGAUUUAAUUCUAGAUGAAUUAGAUAGUUUGGUGGUUAUGUAUGUUAAUGCAGUAUUUAAUUUUGUUUAAUUGGGUUACUCUUGAUUUAGUAAUAGAAUUUAGUUUUGGUUAAAUUUGUGCCAGCAGCCGCGGUUAUACAUGGAAGGCUAGUAAAUGUUUUUGGUUAAUUAGUUAUUAUGGUUUAUAUUAAUUUUGUUUUAUUUUAUUUAGGUGAAAUUAUAUUGUUUAUUAUGUUAAUUUUAUUUGUAGGAAGCUGAGAAAUCAAUAUUUAUAAACUAGGAUUAGAUACCCUAUUAUUUUUGAUGUAAAGUUUUGUACCUGAGUAGUAUUAGUAUUAUGAUCUUGAAACUUAAAGAAUUUGGCGGUAUUUUAGUCUUCUUAGAGGAAUCUGUCCCGUAAUCGAUAUUCCACGUUGAAUACUUACUUAAUCUAAUGUUUAUAUACCGCUGUUUUGUAGAGUGUCUUUUUAGGGUAAUAAAAUUUCUUUUUUUUUAUUUGAAUUUAUUUCAGGUCAAGGUUUAAUUUAUGAUUAAGAGGAGAUGGGUUACAAUGCGUAUAGAGCAUAAUGGAAUUUAAGUUGUAAUAUUUGAAUGAAGGUGGAUUUAAUAGUAAUUUGAUUUAGAAUGUUGAGGUGACUUUGGCUCUAAAAUAUGUACACAUCGCCCGUCGCUCUCGUUAUUAAGAUGAGAUAAGUCGUAACAUAGUAGCUGUACUGGAAAGUGUAGUUGGAAUUAU